AGCGAACGCUGGCGGCAGGCUUAACACAUGCAAGUCGAGCGGACCUUUCGGGGUCAGCGGCGGACGGGUGAGUAACGCGUGGGAACGUGCCUUCCGGUUCGGAAUAACCCUGGGAAACUAGGGCUAAUACCGGAUACGCCCUCAUGGGGAAAGGUUUACUGCCGGAAUAUCGUCCCGCGUCUGAUUAGCUAGUUGGUGGGGUAACGGCCUACCAAGGCGACGAUUAGUAGCUGGUCUGAGAGGAUGAUCAGCCACACUGGGACUGAGACACGGCCCAGACUCCUACGGGAGGCAGCAGUGGGGAAUAUUGGACAAUGGGCGCAAGCCUGAUCCAGCCAUGCCGCGUGAGUGAUGAAGGCCUUAGGGUUGUAAAGCUCUUUUAUCCGGGACGAUAAUGACGGUACCGGAGGAAUAAGCCCCGGCUAACUUCGUG
rnacentral:rRNA from 1 species